ensembl:snRNA
GUGUUGUGUUAAAGGAGAGGUUAGCACUCUAGUCUUGACAAGUAUGGAAGAGGGCCUUAGACCUGACUACAUGCAUCCAGUUAAGAUAUUGCCACCUACUUUGUGACAUAUAACCAUUGUAUUUU